rnacentral:rRNA from 1 species
AUUCUUCGGAAUUAGUGGCAGACGGGUGAGUAACGCGUGGGAAGCUACCUUGUGGUAGGGAACAACAGUUGGAAACGACUGCUAAUACCCUAUGAGCCCUAUGGGGGAAAGAUUUAUCGCCAUGAGAUGUGCCCGCGUUAGAUUAGCUAGUUGGUAAGGUAAUGGCUUACCAAGGCGACGAUCUAUAGCUGGUCUGAGAGGAUGAUCAGCCACACUGGGACUGAGACACGGCCCAGACUCCUACGGGAGGCAGCAGUGGGGAAUAUUGGACAAUGGGGGCAACCCUGAUCCAGCCAUGCCGCGUGAGUGAUGACGGCCUUAGGGUUGUAAAGCUCUUUCAGCAGUGAAGAUAAUGACAUUAACUGCAGAAGAAGCCCCGGCUAACUUCGUGCCAGCAGCCGCGGUAAUACGAAGGGGGCUAGCGUUGUUCGGAAUCACUGGGCGUAAAGCGUACGUAGGCGGACUGAUCAGUCAGGGGUGAAAUCCCGGGGCUCAACCCCGGAACUGCCUUUGAUACUGUCAGUCUUGAGAUCGAGAGAGGUGAGUGGAACUCCGAGUGUAGAGGUGAAAUUCGUAGAUAUUCGGAAGAACACCAGUGGCGAAGGCGGCUCACUGGCUCGAUACUGACGCUGAGGUACGA